GCAGAGGAACUUGAUUUUUUUUUCUCACAGAUUAUCUGUCUCAUUUUACGUUGUCACAACAUAGUUAUAGCUUUAGCUAUUUUUAUGUAAAAACAUAUGUUUUCAUUAAAGUUACAUACUGCAGUUUUAAUAGUGUUAUGAAAUUGAUUAUUCAGUAAUUUUAGUGAAUAGAAUAUUUAUUUGCAAGGAUUUGCUGCAGAUCAUAACUUUGUUUUUUUUAUUAAUAGGUUUCACUGAAGAUAGAGCCUCUAAUCCAAGUAAGUACUUCAUUUAUUUGUGAUGCAUCACCUUACUACUCUGUUGAAAGUACAUGUCAUGCACUCUAAGGUGGACUUUUUUUUUAGAAUACUGAACUGUUUAUUGGUUCAAUGAUAUGUAAACAUAUGUCUUUCUGUGUAGGUCUACAUUCUGAGGACUCCUCUGGAUCAGGAGAAACCAAUCCAUCCAGCGAUUCUGGUGCUGAACCGGGCUCAUCUUCUAGUACCAGCAGUGACAGUGAGUGACACAAGUCUGAUUAAUUAGCUUUCUCAACUGUUUGGAACCAGAUUUACCAGAAUACAUAAAAUAAUCAUGGCAAGACAUUGUAUAGAAACUUUAAAAACAUACUGAUCUCUAAAUGAAAAAAAAAAAAAAAACUGAAUUUGGGCUAAUUCAGUCUCUGCUUUAUGUUUAACCCUGAUUGUCUCCAGUAACCCAUAGUCCAAUUUAAAAGAAACAAACUAAUGAAAACCUUGUAGAAAUUGUUUACUGAGACAAGUUUUCUUUUUGUUGUCAGGUACAGAGGUCUCUAUUGUUUUAUUAUGAACUAAGGUCAAACUAAAUGCUUGAACAGUCCAUUAUUACAUUGAAAAGUAGUCAGUCUGUCUUUCUUCAUGUUAGCAUAUCAUGAGGUUUUAGAUCCAUUGAAGUGUUGCUUCCAACAAACAACAAUAUACAACAUUUAUGAAGAAAUCAACUGUAAUAUUCCUUUUCUGUUUUUCUUUUGACCAAAAAUACCCUGAAAGCUUUCCAAUCAUUUUAGUGUGUACAGUUCAGAUAUAUUUUCAUUUAUUUUGACUAUUUUAUUUAAAUAAUAUAACCC